CCUACGGGAGGCAGCAGUAAGGAAUAUUGGUCAAUGGAGGCAACUCUGAACCAGCCAUGCCGCGUGCAGGAUGACGGCCCUAUGGGUUGUAAACUGCUUUUAUACAAGAGAAAACCCUGGUACGUGUACCAGGUUGAUAGUAUUGUAAGAAUAAGCAUCGGCUAACUUCGUGCCAGCAGCCGCGGUAAGACGAAGGAUGCAAGCGUUAUCCGGAUUCAUUGGGUUUAAAGGGUGCGUAGGCGGACUGAUAAGUCAGUGGUGAAAUCUCUUUGCUUAACAAAGAAACUGCCAUUGAUACUGUCAGUCUAGAGUAUAGAUGACGUUGGCGGAAUAUGACAUGUAGUGGUGAAAUACUUAGAUAUGUCAUAGAACACCGAUUGCGAAGGCAGCUAACGAAACUAUAAACUGACGCUGAGGCACGAAAGUGCGGGGAUCAAACAGGAUUAGAUACCCUGGUAGUCCGCACCGUAAACGAUGAUUACUCGUUGUUGGCGAUAUGACAGUCAGCGACCAAGCGAAAGCGAUAAGAAUCCACCUGGGGAGUACGCCGGCAACGGUUGAAACGUUAAGGAAUUGACGGCGAGAGAGNGCGAGGACGACGACGAGGGAGGAGG
rnacentral:rRNA from 1 species